rnacentral:misc_RNA from 1 species
GAGAGAAGAUUUGACAGUAACCUCUUAAUGAACCAAUCCCAAGCUUGCCAACUUCAAUUUUUCUUCUCCCUUUUGCUUCUAAUCUCUUAAGCUAGGUUUAAAAACAAGUUUUUGUGUUUGAUGAUUGCGAAAAUAUGAAUGAUUUUGAUGGGAAAUUGGAGCUUCAAGAAGUAUCCAUGGAGGAAAACCCAAGAAAUGGUUCGGCCAAGAUGAACCAAAUGAGGAAGAUGACCAAUUUUUAUUUAAUUUAACUCUCUUUUUAUCUCUUUUAAUGUGUUUGUCAAACUUUGAUUGGUUAGGGAUUUUUAAUUACAUUAUGCCCAUGUCAUAAAUCUAAUUUAAUUCUAUUUUCUUUUCUUAUUCUUUUUUCUUUCUUUACUUAUUUUUAAUUAAUUUUUCAUUAAUAUUUAUUCAUAUUUUAUGACA